rnacentral:tRNA from 1 species
GCCCGGUUAGUUCAGUUGGUAGAGCAUCAGACUUUUAAUCUGAAGGCCAUGGAUUCGAGUCCCAUAUCGGGCU